UUGCACCCCGCCUGAGAUCUACACGGAUGAGAAAUUCCAUGCUGUGCCAGCAAACGUCUGGGCCUUAGGUAUUUUGCUGUACUUCAUGGUGCUUAGACGUUUCCCUUCUAAUUUAAACGACUUUCACUCCGGGAAUCUGAAGACAACUGAGAAGGAUUUAUCAAAGGAAAUCUGUGAUCUGUUAAGAGGUUGCCUGGCCCUGAAUCCAAGUGAUCGUCCGACACUCAAGCAGAUCUUAGAUCAUGACUGGUUUAAAACUGAGUCUGAUGAAGAAGAGCUACUCGUAUACAAAAUGAGGGCACUAUCCAUGCAAAAUAAACAAAGGAUGAAGCUAACUAAAAUAGAAAAUAUAAAAAGGAUGAAGCUGAAUGACUGAAGGAGAGGGGAAUGAUCGGAGAUGCUGUUUUCAUCAUCCUGAG